rnacentral:lncRNA from 1 species
UUAAAGGAGAUGAAAGAUGUGUCCUUGAUGUCCUGCAUCUUAUUGAGCUAAUGUUACUAUUAUUGUGUGAAGGAAGGAAAGCUCUACCAAAGAACCACUAGCCAUUAGAUUCAGUUAUUAAUGAUUUAGGUAUUGAUAUUAAUCAUUAUGCAUGAUGUUGGUCAAACUCUAUUGAAUUGGGCAUCAGCAUUUGUUACACUUCAAAUGGUUGAAUAUUUGCUGGAGAAUGGUGCUGAUGUUAAUCGUGGCUUAAAGUCAUCAUCUUUACAUUAUGCAGCUUGUUUCUGUCAUCCUAGCA